AGUGAACGCUGGCGGUAGGCCUAACACAUGCAAGUCGAACGGCAGCACAGUAAGAGCUUGCUCUUACGGGUGGCGAGUGGCGGACGGGUGAGGAAUACAUCGGAAUCUACUUUUUCGUGGGGGAUAACGUAGGGAAACUUACGCUAAUACCGCAUACGACCUACGGGUGAAAGCAGGGGAUCUUCGGACCUUGCGCGAUUGAAUGAGCCGAUGUCGGAUUAGCUAGUUGGCGGGGUAAAGGCCCACCAAGGCGACGAUCCGUAACUGAUCUGAGAGGAUGAUCAGCCACACUGGAACUGAGACACGGUCCAGACUCCUACGGGAGGCAGCAGUGGGGAAUAUUGGACAAUGGGCGCAAGCCUGAUCCAGCCAUACCGCGUGGGUGAAGAAGGCCUUCGGGUUGUAAAGCCCUUUUGUUGGGAAAGAAAAGCAGCAGGUUAAUACCCCGCUGUUCUGACGGUACCCAAAGAAUAAGCACCGGCUAACUUCGUG
rnacentral:rRNA from 1 species